rnacentral:lncRNA from 1 species
CUCACUCUCUCUGCUAAGACAGACAACACCCACUAGAGGAGUCUUUACCCAGAGGGACCUAAACUCUGCUGUCUUGGAAAGGAGUCAUGACCAAAGAGAUUGAGACUCUGGGAUUGGUCCUUCAGAACGAGAGUUUCAACUACCAGUGUUACAGUAACCUCAUCAUGGACUCCUGGGCCUACACAGACAGCCUACUCACCUACGACCAGUGCAAGACACCAAAAGAACCGAAAAUGGUUACAUGCAGCCGAGGCAGCAGUAUGUACAAGCCAGAGAGGUAAGAUUGAUAUCUAAGCAAUUGUUUACACUACCAGGAGUAUGGACUUGAUUGAGCGAUCAGGCCAAGAAAAUUUCACCUGUUAAUCGAACUGUAGAGGACGACACUAAAG